GUCCUUAGUUACCAGCACGUUAGUGGUGGGCACUCUAAGGAGACUGCCGGUGACAACCGGAGGAAGGUGGGGAGUGACGUCAAGUCAUCAUGGCCCUUACGGCCUGGGCUACACACGUGCUACAAUGGUCGGUACAAAGGGUUGCCAAGCCGCGAGGUGGAGCUAAUCCCAUAAAACCGAUCGUAGUCCGGAUCGCAGUCUGCAACUCGACUGCGUGAAGUCGGAAUCGCUAGUAAUCGUGAAUCAGAAUGUCACGGUGAAUACGUUCCCGGGCCUU
rnacentral:rRNA from 1 species